rnacentral:rRNA from 1 species
AGAGUUUGAUCCUGGCUCAGGGUGAACGCUGGCGGCGCGCUUAAUGCAUGCAAGUCGAGCGUGAUCGUGGCUUCGGCCACAAUGAUAAAGCGGCAGACGGCUGAGUAACGCGUGAGUAAUCUGCCCUCCGGUGGGGUAUAACCUCGGGAAACUGAGGAUAAUCCCGCAUACGACCUGCAUCCCUUGGGGUGCGGAUGAAAGGCUUCGGUCGCCGGAGGAGGAGCUCGCGUCCUAUCAGGUUGUUGGUGGGGUAAUGGCCUACCAAGCCGAUGACGGGUAGCUGGUCUGAGAGGAUGACCAGCCAGAGGGGGACUGAGAACGGCCCCCACUCCUACGGGAGGCAGCAGCAGGGAAUCUUGCGCAAUGGGCGAAAGCCUGACGCAGCGACACCGCGUGGGGGAAGAAGGCCUCAGGGUUGUAAACCCCUUUUCUGUGGGAAGAGAUAGGACGGUACCACAGGAAUAAGCAUCGGCUAACUACGUGCCAGCAGCCGCGGUAAUACGUAGGAUGCAAGCGUUGUCCGGAUUUACUGGGCGUAAAGGGUGUGUAGGCGGCAUGGUAAGUCUCAUGUGAAAUCUCCCGGCUCAACUGGGAGGGGUCAUGGGAUACUGGCAGACUGGAGUGCAGUAGAGGAAAGCGGAAUUCCCGGAGUAGUGGUGGAAUGCGUAGAUACCGGGAGGAACACCAGAGGCGAAGGCGGCUUUCUGGGCUGUAACUGACGCUGAGGCGCGAAAGCGUGGGUAGCAAACCGGAUUAGAUACCCGGGUAGUCCACGCCCUAAACGACGGAUACUAGGCAUGGGGGGUAUCGACCCCCUCCGUGCCGCAGCUAACGCAAUAAGUAUCCCGCCUGAGGAGUACGGCCGCAAGGCUAAAACUCAAAGGAAUUGACGGGGACCCGCACAAGCAGCGGAUCGUGUGGUUUAAUUCGAUGAUAAGCGAAGAACCUUACCAGGGCUUGAAAUGCUUCUGACCGGCUGUGAAAGCAGCCUUUCCUUCGGGACAGUUGCACAGAUGUUGCAUGGCUGUCGUCAGCUCGUG